rnacentral:rRNA from 1 species
GGUGCUUGCACUGAUCCGAUCGAGUGGCGGACGGGUGAGUAACGCGUGGGUAACCUGCCUCAUACAGGGGAAUAACAGUUGGAAACGGCUGCUAAAACCGCAUAAGCGCACAGUAUCGCAUGAUACAGUGUGAAAAACUCCGGUGGUAUGAGAUGGACCCGCGUCUGAUUAGCUAGUUGGUGAGGUAACGGCCCACCAAGGCAACGAUCAGUAGCCGGCCUGAGAGGGUGAACGGCCACAUUGGGACUGAGACACGGCCCAAACUCCUACGGGAGGCAGCAGUGGGGAAUAUUGCACAAUGGGGGAAACCCUGAUGCAGCGACGCCGCGUGAGUGAUGAAGUAUUUCGGUAUGUAAAGCUCUAUCAGCAGGGAAGAUAAUGACGGUACCUGACUAAGAAGCACCGGCUAAAUACGUGCCAGCAGCCGCGGUAAUACGUAUGGUGCAAGCGUUAUCCGGAUUUACUGGGUGUAAAGGGUGCGUAGGUGGUGAGACAAGUCUGAAGUGAAAAUCCGGGGCUUAACCCCGGAACUGCUUUGGAA